rnacentral:rRNA from 1 species
UACGGGGGGGACUAGCGUUGUUCGGAAUUACUGGGCGUAAAGCGCACGUAGGCGGAUUUGUAAGUCAGGGGUGAAAUCCCGGGGCUCAACCUCGGAACUGCCUUUGAUACUGCAAAUCUCGAGUCCGGAAGAGGCGAGUGGAACUCCUGGUGUAGCGGUGGAAUGCGCAGAUAUCAGGAAGAACACCAACGGCGAAGGCAGCUCGCUGGGACGGUACUGACGCUGAGACGCGAAAGCGUGGGGAGCGAACAGG